AUUGAACGCUGGCGGCAGGCUUAACACAUGCAAGUCGAGCGGAGAUGAGGUGCUUGCACCUUAUCUUAGCGGCGGACGGGUGAGUAAUGCUUAGGAAUCUGCCUAUUAGUGGGGGACGACAUUCCGAAAGGAAUGCUAAUACCGCAUACGUCCUACGGGAGAAAGCAGGGGAUCUUCGGACCUUGCGCUAAUAGAUGAGCCUAAGUCGGAUUAGCUAGUUGGUGGGGUAAAGGCCUACCAAGGGGACGAUCUGUAGCGGGUCUGAGAGGAUGAUCCGCCACACUGGGACUGAGACACGGCCCAGAUUCCUACGGGAGGCAGCAGUGGGGAAUAUUGGACAAUGGGGGGAACCCUGAUCCAGCCAUGCCGCGUGUGUGAAGAAGGCCUUAUGGUUGUAAAGCACUUUAAGCGAGGAGGAGGCUACUGAGACUAAUACUCUUGGAUAGUGGACGUUACUCGCAGAAUAAGCACCGGCUAACUCUGUGCCAGCAGCCGCCGUAACAC
rnacentral:rRNA from 1 species